UACGAAGGGGGCUAGCGUUGCUCGGAAUCACUGGGCGUAAAGGGUGCGUAGGCGGGUCUUUUAAGUCAGAGGUGAAAUCCUGGAGCUCAACUCCAGAACUGCCUUUGAUACUGAGGAUCUUGAGUUCGGGAGAGGUGAGUGGAACUGCGAGUGUAGAGGUGAAAUUCGUAGAUAUUCGCAAGAACACCAGUGGCGAAGGCGGACUCACUGGCCCGAUACUGACGCUGAGGUGCGAAAGCGUGGGGAG
rnacentral:rRNA from 1 species